AUUGAACGCUGGCGGCAGGCCUAACACAUGCAAGUCGAGCGGAUGAGAGGAGCUUGCUCCUCGAUUCAGCGGCGGACGGGUGAGUAAUGCCUAGGAAUCUGCCUAGUAGUGGGGGACAACGUUUCGAAAGGAACGCUAAUACCGCAUACGUCCUACGGGAGAAAGUGGGGGAUCUUCGGACCUCACGCUAUUAGAUGAGCCUAGGUCGGAUAAGCUAGUUGGUAGGGUAACGGCCUACCAAGGCGACGAUCCGUAACUGGUCUGAGAGGAUGAUCAGUCACACUGGAACUGGAACACGGUCCAGACUCCUACGGGAGGCAGCAGUGGGGAAUAUUGGACAAGGGGCGAAAGCCUGAUCCAGCCAUGCCGCGUGUGUGAAGAAGGCCCUCGGGUCGUAAAGCACUUUAAGUUGGGAGGAAGGGCUUACAGCGAAUACCUGUGAGUUUUGACGUUACCGACAGAAUAAGCACCGGCUAACUUCGUGCCAGCCGCCGCAGUAA
rnacentral:rRNA from 1 species